AUUGAACGCUGGCGGCAGGCUUAACACAUGCAAGUCGAGCGGAGAGAGGUAGCUUGCUACUGAUCUUAGCGGCGGACGGGUGAGUAAUGCUUAGGAAUCCGCCUAUUAGUGGGGGACAACAUUUCGAAAGGAAUGCUAAUACCGCAUACGUCCUACGGGAGAAAGCAGGGGAUCUUCGGACCUUGCGCUAAUAGAUGAGCCUAAGUCGGAUUAGCUAGUUGGUGGGGGAAAGGCCUACCAAGGCGACGAUCUGUAGCGGGUCUGAGAGGAUGAUCCGCCACACUGGGACCGAGACACGGCCCAGACUCCUACGGGAGGCAGCAGUGGGGAAUAUUGGACAAUGGGCGCAAGCCUGAUCCAGCCAUGCCGCGUGUGUGAAGAAGGCCUUAUGGUUGUAAAGCACUUUAAGCGAGGAGGAGGCUACUUUAGAUAAUACCUAGAGAUAGUGGACGUUACUCGCAGAAUAGGCACCGGCUAACUCUGUGCCAGCAGCCGCAGUAA
rnacentral:rRNA from 1 species